GGGAAGCUGAUGUUAAUGUUAAAUACAACAAAAUGUGUGGAAUUUAUAAUAUAAUCUUGUUUAAAAUUGGAAAGGAAAUAUAGUGUAAAUAUCAGAAAUAAAACUAUGUUUCGAUGUUCAUGCGAAUUGAACGACAGAAUAGGAUCGGCAAAUCCAUGAAUGACAAAAUAGGAUUGGAAAAUCCUAUUUAAUUUCGCAUGAAAAAAAACCCAUUUCAUUUGGAGCAAGCGAAUUUACUAUGAAUUAUGCAAAAAGAUCCAAAUAGAUCAGAAUAAUAUCCUAGCAUAAUAUUAAACUACGUUGAUUAUCUGGAAUAAAUUGAUAGGGGUUAUUAAUGAAAAAUUUAGUAGAUAAAUCAUAACAAUAAAUCAGAAUAUAUGAAAAUAUGUUGUGACUCACCGCUGCAAAAUACCUGCAAGAACGUGAAAUUUCAAUCAGAUCUAAGAUCUUUGUGGAAAACCUUACAUGAAUAGAAGCAUGCACUACCAAUUUAAAUUUGGAGAUUGUCUGCAUUACGUAGUUUUAAAAAAUCAGUUAGAAUUUUAAUGUUUGUUAUACAUUUAGUGAAGAACACUUAAAAUAGGAGUACUUAGAAGGAUUGAUGCCGAAAUAUUUAAUUGUAACAAAAAGGGGAGUAAUUCAAAGGAUUUAUGUGGAAAUAACCUAAAUUCUAAACUAUAGG
rnacentral:misc_RNA from 1 species